rnacentral:rRNA from 1 species
AUUGAACGCUGGCGGCAGGCCUAACACAUGCAAGUCGAACGAGUGGCGGACGGGUGAGUAAUGUCUGGGAAACUGCCUGAUGGAGGGGGAUAACUACUGGAAACGGUAGCUAAUACCGCAUACCAUCAGAUGUGCCCAGAUGGGAUUAGCUUGUUGGUGGGGUAAAGGCUCACCAAGGCGACGAUCCCUAGCUGGUCUGAGAGGAUGACAAGCCACACGGGAACUGAGACACGGCCCAGACCCCUACGGGAGGCAGCAGUGGGGAAUAUUGCACAAGGGGCGAAAGCCUGAUGCAGCCAUGCCGGGUGUAUGAAGAAGGCCUUCGGGUGAGAAAGUACUUUCAGCGGGGAGGCGUUACCCGCAGAAGAAGCACCGGCUAACUCCGUGCCAGCAGCCGCGGUAUUC